UUCCACAAUGGUCGCAAGUCUGAUGGAGCAACGCCGCGUGAGUGAAGAAGGCUUUCGGGUCGUAAAACUCUGUUGUUGGAGAAGAAUGGUCGGCAGAGUAACUGUUGUCGGCGUGACGGUAUCCAACCAGAAAGCCACGGCUAACUACGUGCCAGCAGCCGCGGGUAAUACGUAGGUGGGCAAGCGUUAUCCGGAUUUAUUGGGCGUAAAGCGAGCGCAGGCGGUUUUUUAAGUCUGAUGUGAAAGCCCUCGGCUUAACCGAGGAAGCGCAUCGGAAACUGGGAAACUUGAGUGCAGAAGAGGACAGUGGAACUCCAUGUGUAGCGGUGAAAUGCGUAGAAUAUAUGGAAGAACACCAGUGGCGAAGGCGGCUGUCUGGUCUGUAACUGACGCUGAGGCUCGAAAGCAUGGGUAGCGAACAGGAUUAGAUACCCUGGUAGUCCAUGCCGUAAACGAUGAAUGCUAGGUGUUGGAGGGUUUCCGCCCUUCAGUGCCGC
rnacentral:rRNA from 2 species